CCUACGGGAGGCAGCAGUGAGGAAUAUUGGUCAAUGGGCGCGAGCCUGAACCAGCCAAGUCGCGUGAGGGAAGACGGUCCUAUGGAUUGUAAACCUCUUUUGUCAGGGAGCAAAAGGCGCCACGCGUGGCGUUCCGAGGGUACCCGGAAGAAAAGCCUCGGCUAACUCCGUGCCCGCAGCCGCGGUAAUACGGGGGAUGCGAGCGUUAUCCGGGUUUAUUGGGUUUAAAGGGUGCGUAGGCGGAAGAUCAAGUCAGCGGUAAAAUUGAGGGGCUCAACCUCUGCGAGCCGUUGAAACUGGUUGUCUUGAGUGAGCGAGAAGUAUGGGGAAUGCGUGGUGUAGCGGUGAAAUGCAUAGAUAUCACGCAGAACUCCGAUUGCGAAGGCAGCAUACCGGCGCUCAACUGACGCUCAUGCACGAAAGCGUGGGUAUCGAACAGGAUUAGAUACCCGAGUAGUC
rnacentral:rRNA from 1 species